rnacentral:rRNA from 1 species
AUUGAACGCUGGCGGCAGGCCUAACACAUGCAAGUCGAGCGGAUGAAGGGAGCUUGCUCCUGGCUUCAGCGGCGGACGGGUGAGUAAUGCCUAGGAAUCUGCCUGGUAGUGGGGGAUAACGUCCGGAAACGGGCGCUAAUACCGCAUACGUCCUGAGGGAGAAAGUGGGGGAUCUUCGGACCUCACGCUAUCAGAUGAGCCUAGGUCGGAUUAGCUAGUUGGUGGGGUAAAGGCCUACCAAGGCGACGAUCCGUAACUGGUCUGAGAGGAUGAUCAGUCACACUGGAACUGAGACACGGUCCAGACUCCGACGGGAGGCAGCAGUGGGGAAUAUUGGACAAUGGGCGGAAGCCUGAUCCAGCCAUGCCGCGUGUGUGAAGAAGGUCUUCGGAUUGGAAAGCACUUUAAGUUGGGAGGAAGGGCAGUAAGUUAAUACCUGGCUGUUUUGACGGUACCAACAGAAUAAGCACCGGCUAACUUCGUG